GAGUUUGAUCAUGGCUCAGAUUGAACGCUGGCGGCAUGCCUUACACAUUCAAGUCGAGCGGCAGCGCGGGGGCAACCCUGGCGGCGAGCGGCGAACGGGUGAGUAAUACAUCGGAACGUGUCCUGUCGUGGGGGAUAACCAGUCGAAAGAUUGGCUAAUACCGCAUGACCUCGUAAGAGAAAAGCGGGGGACCGUAAGGCCUCGCGCGACUGGAGCGGCCGAUGUCGGAUUAGCUAGUUGGCGGGGUAAAAGCCCACCAAGGCGACGAUCCGUAGCUGGUUUGAGAGAACGACCAGCCACACUGGGACUGAGACACGGCCCAGACUCCUACGGGAGGCAGCAGUAGGGAAUUUUGGACAAUGGGGGCAACCCUGAUCCAGCCAUGCCGCGUGUGUGAAGAAGGCCUUCGG
rnacentral:rRNA from 1 species